GUGUUAGUAGUAUAAGGUUAGAGUAUUCUGUCUUUCCAAGUCAGAGGUCCGUUUGUUUGGUUAACAUA
rnacentral:tRNA from 1 species